CCUAAAGCGUUGACCGGAAUGAGUAAACAAACGCCCCUGUCACAGAGAGUGGUGGUCACUAGCUGAAAGCCGCCUGACACGCAAUUGUUGAAAACCCUCCGGGAGCGGACUUUAGAACGGCCUUAACUCAGUAAAAAGUCCCGAUUGGCCCCGUUAAAAGCCUCCAAAGAGCCGCUGUUAGCAAUUAAACAAGAUUUGCUAAUUGCUAAUUGCUAAUUGCUAAUUGGUCAUUGCUAAUUCGGCUAAAAUUGGGUGGAACCACGUGGAUUAACCCCUCGUCCCUUGU
rnacentral:ncRNA from 1 species